GCUGUACCUCCACCUAGUCAGGCUCCUCCAGCAGCCCCAGCAGCAGCCCCAGCAGCAGCUCCAGCAGCAGCCCAGGCCCCACCUGCAGCUGCUGCAGCUCCGGUACAGGAAGACACGAAAGUCCCCAUCAGCCUUGUACUAAGGUUAAGGAAUUCAAAAAAAGAGCUCAAUGACAUCCGAUUUGAAUUCACCCCAGGGAGAGGUGAGCUGGUGGGACACUGCAGUGUGUCUGAAGGGGAAGUUCUGUGUUUGGUGUUGUGCAGUUGUGUGCAUGGAACCCCUGUGUGAUUGUCCAUGGUGCCUUCCUAAAGGGCUCCCUAUGGCUGAGCUUGGAGCUCUGCUGUUGAGAAGACCCUUCCUGUAAAACUGUUCAU